UGAUAAUUAGUUUAANNUAAAACAAAUGAUUUCGACUCAUUAAAUUACGACUUGCAUCGUAAUUAUCAA
rnacentral:tRNA from 1 species